rnacentral:lncRNA from 1 species
UUUCUGCUAUCAGUUGAACAUGCAUGCUUCUCGCUGUCGCCAUCGACAUCAAUGGAAGCCUGAUAAAUAGUUUGACCACCCUUUAUCAGCAGAAAAAGAAAGGGACAGUAUUUCUCUGGACCAUAUAGCCUACACCUGGCAUUUUUUUUCUUCUCAAACAAGAGCAGAUACAGUAGGUGACUCUGUGCCCUAUGACAGAGUGUUCUUCAGUGUUACCUCAGUUCCAGGAGUCCCAGCAGGACAUGGACGGGGAGUCAGGGCGUUCAGAACAUCACCAACAGCCCAUGACACCGAGACAGUUUCAGGACUGGCGGAAUAGUCUAGGCAAGAGUUCAGCACUAGACCAGGAUAGACUGAACCUGCAAGGUCUUGACCAGGGUCCAGCACAAGACAAGGAAACACUGCCAGGUCUUGACCAGGGUCCAGCACAAGACAAGGAAACACUGCCAGGUCUUGACCAGGGUCCAGCACAAGACAAGGAAACACUGCCAGGUCUUGACCAGGGUCCAGCACAAGACAAGGAAACACUGCCAGGUCUUGACCAGGGUCCAGCACAAGACAAGGAAACACUGCCAGGUCUUGACCAGGGUCCAGCACAAGACAAGGAAACACUGCCAGGUCUUGACCAGGGUCCAGCACAAGACAAGGAAACACUGCAUGGUUUUAAACAGGGACCAGCACAAGACCAGGCGAGUCGGAAUUACUUCCAUCAAGUCCAGGAUCAGGAUCGUUCACUAGGCUCCAAUAAAUGCACAACAGAAGAACAGGAUCCUUCCAUAAAGGUCUCAGUCCAGGAUGAGGAUCCACCAGGGAACCAGGACUAUCAAUGUAAUUUAGACCUGGAGCAAUGCACAGCUCAUAGCGCAGACCAGGGUGAAAACAGGCUGAGUGGUGUGAACCAGGAUCCAGUAUAUUUUGGUCCCGCACAAGACCACAGCAGCCCUCAUGACAUCCCCAUUCUGGUAUCAGCUGGGAACCAGAACCAAACACAGGACUCAAUCCAUGAUCUAGCUGGUGGAAUGGAUCUACCACACUGCACAGAUCCAAAUCCAACCCCAAAACAGGACCAAGAGAAACUGCUUGGGACAGACCAGGAGCAGGCCCUAGUGGACCCAGACAGACGACUUAACCCAAACCAGGACCACGCCACAGAUGAGGCUUGUGGGGAAGAUGCGGCAGGGGAACAAGGCGCCUGUAUCCCAGCGGUGGUGAUCACUCAGACAGAAGGGAGCCGGGGGCCAGUGGUGAAUCAAGGUGGAGAGACAGCGCCAGAGGUAACGGAGAGAGUGGAGGCUGGACCACUGUGUCCACAGACACCAGCAGAGAGGCCAGAGAUACCAACAGGACCAGAGAGACCACAAGAACUAGCAAUCGCAGCCAUGGUUCCAGUGACCACUUUAGACCUCAGCCCCAGCCCUCUCAGUGCAGACCUCAGUCCCAGCCUCAUCGAAGGGGGGGACCUACUGGCCUGCUGUGAUCUGCUGUCCCUGAAGAGUGACACUGUGUCCCUGGCCAGGAGUGAGGGAUAUGUCCAGGAAGAAGAUACAAGAAGUGUGGCUGCAUCCUCUGUCAUGUCUGUGUUCCCCAGGAUUCAGUUGGAUCCUCUGGAGAAGGACUGGCUACGAUCCUGUGCCCUGGGGAACACAGCUGCUCUCCGACAGCUCCUCACACAGGACCCCAGCCUGGCCUCAAAGAAGGACUUCAUCACUGUAAGUAGUUUCCAGUAUUUAUCCUACCAUCCUCCCUUCCUCUUUUCCUGGCUCUAA